UGAACGCUAGCGGCAGGCUUAACACAUGCAAGUCGAGGGGUAGAAGAAGCUUGCUUGAGACCGGCGCACGGGUGCGUAACGCGUAUGCAAUCUACCUUUCACAAAGGGAUAGCCCAGAGAAAUUUGGAUUAAUACCUUAUAGUAAUACGCCUUGGCAUCAAGAUGUAUUUAAAGAUUUAUCGGUGAAAGAUGAGCAUGCGUCCCAUUAGCUAGUUGGUAUGGUAACGGCAUACCAAGGCUACGAUGGGUAGGGGUCCUGAGAGGGAGAUCCCCCACACUGGUACUGAGACACGGACCAGACUCCUACGGGAGGCAGCAGUGAGGAAUAUUGGACAAUGGGCGCAAGCCUGAUCCAGCCAUGCCGCGUGCAGGAUGACGGUCCUAUGGAUUGUAAACUGCUUUUAUACAGGAAGAAACACCUCUACGUGUAGAGACUUGACGGUACUGUAAGAAUAAGGAUCGGCUAACUCCGUGCCAGCAGCCGCGGUAAU
rnacentral:rRNA from 1 species